UACGUAGGCAGCGAGCGUUGUUCGGAGUUACUGGGCGUAAAGCGUGCGUAGGCGGUUGUCUAAGUUUGGUGUGAAAUCUCCUGCUUAACUGGGAGGGUGCGCCGAAAACUGGGUGACUGGAGUGUCGGAGAGGUAAGCGGAAUUCCUGGUGUAGCGGUGAAAUGCGUAGAGAUCAGGAGGAACACCGGUGGCGAAGGCGGUUCUCUGGGCAUUACCUGACGCUGAGGAGCGAAAGCAUGGGGAGCGAACAGG
rnacentral:rRNA from 1 species